rnacentral:rRNA from 1 species
CCUACGGGUGGCAGCAGUGGGGAAUAUUGGGCAAUGGGCGCAAGCCUGACCCAGCAACGCCGCGUGAAGGAAGAAGGCUUUCGGGUUGUAAACUUCUUUUCUCAGGGACGAAGAAAGUGACGGUACCUGAGGAAUAAGCCACGGCUAACUACGUGCCAGCAGCCGCGGUAAUACGUAGGUGGCAAGCGUUAUCCGGAUUUACUGGGUGUAAAGGGCGUGUAGGCGGGGAAGCAAGUCAGAUGUGAAAACCACGGGCUCAACCUGUGGCCUGCAUUUGAAACUGUUUUUCUUGAGUACUGGAGAGGCAGACGGAAUUCCUAGUGUAGCGGUGAAAUGCGGAGAUAUUAGGAGGACCACGAGGGGCGAGGGCGGUCUGCUGAACAGCAACUGACGCUGAGGCGCGAAAGCGUGGGGAGCAAACAGGAUUAGAUACCCGAGUAGUC